CACAGAAUGAUGAGUAAACAGACAACGUCAAUGUCUAUAACAAUUUAGAAAUAUUCUUAAAUGCCAUUAUAACAGUGUUAAAUAAAGCCAAUUGACAGAAAGCCAAGUGAUUAGAUGACAUUGCUAUCAACUGUUUGAAUCGGCCCCGAAGAACUCUUAUUACAUCUGCUAUACUUGGUAGAAAUCAAUGAAGUCAUACCAUCUAAAACUAUAGCCAUUCACGUUUGUGUAAUCUUCAGAGUGAAAACUGACCAGUUUUAUAGGUUUUCAACUUGAGCUGAAGAACUUAAGAUGAAAUGAAAUGAAAUGAAAUGGGUCUUAACAUCCUACUUUUCUACACCAACUGGGCUAAUAAAGGCAGAAAAAGGACUUAGGAGUUUUCUACAAAAUUACAACUGAAUGCAAAUUGGAAUCAGACUUUUAUUUUACUUCAACCACGUAAUGGGAGCUUACAUAAACAAAACAUGCAAAGGUAAUCAGAUGAUAACUUUCGCUGUUUGGGUUAUCAGAAAUGUGCUGUCCGUGCGGAACAGUAGGGCGCUAAACCCCAUUAUGAGCAAUUGGAGAAUUCCACUGAAAGCAAGUAUCA